rnacentral:rRNA from 1 species
GACGAACGCUGGAGGCGUGCUUAACACAUGCAAGUCGAACGAUGAAAUGGAGCUUGCUCCAUGGAUUAGUGGCGAACGGGUGAGUAACACGUGAAUAACCUGCCCUUAAUUUUGGAAUAACCCAGGGAAACCUGGGCUAAUACCGGAUAAGUAAACCUGUGGCAUCACAUGGUUUUGGAAAGUUUUUCGAUUAAGGAUGGAUUCGCGGCCUAUCAGCUUGUUGGUGAGGUAAUGGCUCACCAAGGCGACGACGGGUAGCCGGCCUGAGAGGGUGAACGGCCACACUGGGACUGAGGCACGGCCCAGACUCCUACGGGAGGCAGCAGUGGGGAAUAUUGCGCAAUGGACGAAAGUCUGACGCAGCGACGCCUCGUGAGGGACGAAGGUCUUCGGAUUGUAAACCUCUUUCAGCAGGGACGAAGCGAAAGUGACGGUACCCGCAGAAGAAGCACCGGCUAACUAUGUGCCAGCCGCCGCGGUAA